ensembl:lncRNA
GCUAACAUGGAAAUGGGCCAAGUGACCGAGCGAUUAAUUGAAGAAGUGAGGAAAUACAGCCAUCUGUAUGACUCCUCUUCAGGAGAUUACAAAGAUUGCCAGAUGGCAGCGAAUUCGUGGACUAUAAACACAGUGGAACCCGCUCGCGUCAACUAGCGUUUCGGCGGUGUAAGUGCAGAGCAAAACAGACAUACGCAGAAGUAUAAAUGCUCACGAUGGCGUCGCCUACGUGCGUAGCCUACGACGUACACUUCGGCGUACACUCGACGCAGAAGUAUAAAUUGGCCUUAAGCCCAAGCUUUUUUGCCUUUCCAACAUUUUGUUAAUUGGACUUUUACAGUGUACAUCCUACGUCAUCCUCUGGAAUGCCACUCUCUCGUGAACAUAAGUAUGACACUUGGCAAAAGCUACAGAUUACGGUUUUUAAAGUUUUAAAUAUGGAUAUUAUUCUUACACAAAUGCAUCGAUUCGCUUCAGCAGUCCUUUAUUAACCCACAGGAGCUGUGCGGAGCACUUUUAAUGAUGGAUGGACACAGUUUAUUGGACUUCAUAUUGACUAAUGGAAAAUAACACCCAUUCACUGCUGUUAUAAAGCUUGGAAGAGCCAGGACAUUUUAUAAUAUAACUCUGAUUGUAUUCGUCUGAAAGAAGAAAGUCAUAUAUAGCUAGGAUGGCAUGAGGUUCCCUCAUCCAGAUCAAUGCUGCUGUUUCCAUCCAUCAGUGGAUCUCCAUUCAGAGUCCAGCUGUAGAGGAGCUGAUCCCCCUCAGAGGAGCAGGACACCCUCAUCACCCCCACUGGAGGAGCAGAUGAUUGACACUUCCACUGAGCCAAUAGGAGCUGGAGGGAGGGGCACAUGACAGUCACAUGACAAACACAGAAGAAUCUUGUUCUUCCACACUACUCAUACUAUUACUGGAGUCUGUAGUGUGUUUACUGUGUGCUACAGGAAUAAACCUUCCCAGAGAUUCAACUGAUUGAUCUGCAUGAGAGUGAGAUCUUUGAGACUGGAAUGAGUCUGAUGAGAGAGUACCUUCAACAAUCACUUGAAGAUCUCUAGAUGUUUCUGUGCCGUCUGAGUGAAAGAGUAGUAAUCUGUAAUUCCCAGAAUCUUCUCUGAUCACACGGUUUAAUAUCACAGUCGCAUUAAUGAUAUUCACUUCAAUUCUGUUAUUAUAAAGAUCACAUUCCUUUUUCCUGCCAUAUUUUACUCUACAAAUUGGAUCAUCUUGUGUGUUGUUUAUUCUCUUUAUUAUCUUCAGGUCAUAUUCUCGAGCGUCCCGCUCCAUCAGCAGAUUGAGUUUGUGUUCCAGAGCUGCGUAACAGGGAUCAGAUUGAUUAAAACUGCAUCUUACUUCCAGACCUGAGGAACAAAACACACACACACACACAUGAAAUGUACCAAAACCUACAGACUUCAUGAACUAAAAUCAGGAACAAAUACGGUGAAUUUGGACCGAUCAGACACACAACUAUUUGUUAUAUUUAACAAAUAAUAUCUAACGCCUCCUCAUCUAAUCAAAGGGUCUAUGGACACCUUCCCCCAAAAUGCAACUAUUACCUCAAAAAAUGGCAGAACAGGCCUCUGGUUCCAUAGCAACCAAAGGCACACUAUCUGAUAACACUAGGUUUAUGACGCCCAGGAAUGUGGCUAAGCAACUCUUAACUCAAGUCUCUCAAAAUCAGACACAUAAAAAGGGACUCUUCUCUAAUUAAUUGAUAGAAAAACCUUUCUUUGAAUUAAUUCACAUAUAAUUUAGGGCAUUGUGUACGCUGUUACUGUUCUUGUAUAUUGUGUUUUAUGUAUUGUAUAUGUUGUAUACAUGCCUAUGAUGGAUCACUAGUUAAUAUAACCUCAUCUAUAUGAUUUUUGAUAUCUAUGAGUUCGUAUUUUCAUGAUCUAAAUGAGAGUGUAUAUUAUAUGUUGAUGCCUAUGCAACACAUUAGUUUUAUAAGAAUCUUAAAGAUUAUUCUCUUGAACCCCCCAAUCUAAUUUCAUGGAAGACACCAUGCUAGGAACAGAGAGUUGUAAAAACUUCCCUCCAAAAGGUACCAUUCCUCAUUAGCUCACUCAAAUCUUGAGGGUGUGACAUCAUCCCCAUAUAUAGAUCACUGAUCACCAGAUCAGGGCGGUUCUUUUAGAUUCAGGAAUUCCAGGAGAAGAUGCUGAGCUAAGAGCCUUAAAAACCACGCUAAGCUUGCGCCAGGCCGUCGGCCUUGACUUUCCAUUCAUCAAUAUCCUCUGAUUCGAACUGGUCUUUUCAUCAACUCACUUCAGCAGAGACCAACUGGAGCCCCAAAGUGCAUCAGGACUCUUUUUCAAACAGGCGAGACGUGCAGUAUCAAACUUAGUCUUAUUAAUUGAUACAUUAAGUAUCAUAUGCACCUUUUACAAAGGUGUGUUUGAACUAAGAAACUGAUGUUUCCUUCAGGCUGUAGAUCUGCUGAAUAUCAAAUUGUAUCAUAGCUUCAUGUCUUUAUAUCUCAUCUCUUUACUGCUUAAGCUUUAACUCCUUUUCCUAUGCCAACUGUGUGUGUGUGUGUGUGUGUGUGUGUGUGUGUGUGUGUGUGUGUGUGUGUGUGUGUGUGUGUGUGUGUGUGUGUUAGACUAGUUUAAGUGUUUAUGUAGUUAAUAAAGUCUUAUUUGUAUCACACCUGAGGUUGUUCAUUGUUUGCUCAUAACUGAAGUCCCUAAUCAUGCAGAUUUUUUUGCUACAUGCUCUGAGUAGUAUUGUACAGUAAGAAAGUUAUUUUCCUUAAACAGGAAAGUAGCGUUCUUAGAAUUGACAGACAGUUGACACUGAGAGGUCAAGUAAAUACUUACAGUGGAUCUAAAUAUUUAUAAUUAAUCAUAACUAGUCAU